UAUAGUAGUGUAUCUGUAGGGUCUGGAUAGGUAUAAACAGUAUAGUGGUGGAUCUGUAGGGUCUGGAUAGGUAUAAACAGUAUAGUAGUGUAUCUGUAGGGUCUGGAUAGGUAUAAACAGUAUAGUAGUGUAUCUGUAGGGUCUGGAUAGGUAUAAACAGUAUAGUAGUGUAUCUGUAGGGUCUGGAUAGGUAUAAACAGUAUAGUGGUGGAUCUGUAGGGUCUGGAUAGGUAUAAACAGUAUAGUAGUGUAUCUGUAGGGUCUGGAUAGGUAUAAACAGUAUAGUAGUGUAUCUGUAGGGUCUGGAUAGGUAUAAACAGUAUAGUAGUGUAUCUGUAGGGUCUGGAUAGGUAUAAACAGUAUAGUGGUGGAUCUGUAGGGUCUGGAUAGGUAUAAACAGUAUAGUAGUGUAUCUGUAGGGUCUGGAUAGGUAUAAACAGUAUAGUAGUGUAUCUGUAGGGUCUGGAUAGGUAUAAACAGUAUAGUGGUGGAUCUGUAGGGUCUGGAUAGGUAUAAACAGUAUAGUAGUGUAUAUGUAGGGUCUGGAUAGGUAUAAACAGUAUAGUAGUGUAUCUGUAGGGUCUGGAUAGGUAUAAACAGUAUAGUAGUGUAUCUGUAGGGUCUGGAUAGGUAUAAACAGUAUAGUGGUAGGGUCUGGAUAGGUAUAAACAGUAUAGUGGUGGAUCUGUAGGGUCUGGAUAGGUAUAAACAGUAUAGUGGUGGAUCUGUAGGGUCUGGAUAGGUAUAAACAGUAUAGUGGUGGGGUCUGGAUAGGUAUAAACAGUAUAGUGGUGGGGUCUGGAUAGGUAUAAACAGUAUAGUGGUGGGGUCUGGAUAGGUAUAAACAGUAUAGUAGUGGGGUCUGGAUAGGUAUAAACAGUAUAGUGGUGGGGUCUGGAUAGGUAUAAACAGUAUAGUAGUGGGGUCUGGAUAGGUAUAAACAGUAUAGUAGUGGGGUCUGGAUAGGUAUAAACAGUAUAGUGGUGGGGUCUGGAUAGGUAUAAACAGUAUAGUAGUGGGGUCUGGAUAGGUAUAAACAGUAUAGUAGUGGGGUCUGGAUAGGUAUAAACAGUAUAGUGGUGGGGUCUGGAUAGGUAUAAACAGUAUAGUGGUGGGGUCUGGAUAGGUAUAAACAGUAUAGUGGUGGAGCUGUAUUGAUUCCAUCAUACAGAUUGUACAACAUUAAAAGAGUUUAGGGCCAAGGAGACGGGUAAGGAUAGAUCCUAAUCAAAUCCAUAGCAACACAGAGGGCAGCUGAGUGCACAGCACUGUUUAAUGAUCAGAACUGUGUUCAGGAGGGUUCUGGCUGCCAUUCAUCCCACCGACAUUCCAGUUCCGUAGCCAUUCAUCCCCAGUGUUCUAUUCUAGACUUCAGUUAGAAUGUCAUCCCACCGACAUUCCAGUUCCGUAGC